rnacentral:snoRNA from 1 species
UGUGUGUGUGUGUGUGUGUGUUCAACUGGUGGACAAAGGCAUGAAAGACAGGUGCAAAAAUAAAAAUAAAUCCUCUUUUGCAACCCAGAACUCAUUCACUGUUGAGUGUGAGCUUUGAUACUUACAAGGACUAGAACAGC